rnacentral:rRNA from 1 species
UACGGGGGGGGCAAGCGUUGUUCGGAAUUACUGGGCGUAAAGGGUGCGUAGGCGGUUCGCUAAGUUGGAUGUGAAAACUCUGGGCUCAACCCAGAGCCUGCAUCCAAUACUGACGAGCUAGAGUUCUGGAGGGGGUAGCGGAAUUCCUGGUGUAGCGGUGAAAUGCGUAGAUAUCGCUUGGAACGCCGACGGUGAAAACAGGUUGCUGGGGAUGUGCCGACGCUGAGACACGAAAGCCAGGGGAGCAAACGGG